AUGGAAUCAAUUGAGAAGGCUGUUGGCCCCUUGUCGAGGAUGAAGCCGACGAACUCAACAUAUCGAUUUGGUACGAUUCCGCUAGCAACCCAACUCUCUCGCUUCAAAAACUUCUCAGCCAUCCGUUCUGAAGCUCCCGGGAACAAGCGGAAGCUAACUCUGGCGCAGAUGAACGUGCUCGGCGCUUUUCACAUGCAAUGUGGAGCUGCUGGACGACGGCAACCUCCUCUAUCUAAUUCAGCUCAGAUAAACAAAUCAACUAUGGAAGAAAGCCUAGAACUAGGAAAUAAUGGUAACACAGAAGGUGAUGAGAUUACCUGCUGGACCGUUCAGAUCGACACCCAACAUUACCCAGAAAAGAAUGAGCAAGUGUACAUCUUGAAGCCAGAGGUACGACAAACUACAAGAUACCCACCACCAUCAACAAUUGGUGAUGAGAGCAGUGUACCGCAACAUGGACCUAUGCAUAAACGACGACACCACACAAGCAUGCUGGAACCAAUCAUAGAGAUGAGUGAGGUAGAAAAUGGAGCUAAUAAUGGCACGGACACUGGCUACAUUGAAAGCUGGACUAAAGUUGUUGAUCAACAAACCUUAGAUCAAGACUAG
rnacentral:rRNA from 1 species